rnacentral:rRNA from 1 species
UACGUAGGGUGCAAGCGUUAUCCGGAAUUAUUGGGCGUAAAGAGCUCGUAGGCGGUUUGUCGCGUCUGCUGUGAAAACCGGAGGCUCAGCCUCCGGCCUGCAGUGGGUACGGGCAAACUAGAGUGCGGUAGGGGAGAUUGGAAUUCCUGGUGUAGCGGUGGAAUGCGCAGAUAUCAGGAGGAACACCGGUGGCGAAGGCGGGUCUCUGGGCAACAACUGACGCUGAGGAGCGAAAGCGUGGGGAGCGAACAGG